CAGCUGACCUGCUGCUGGCCCCGCCUCCUUCAGGAAGAAGACUCUCUCUGUUGACCACAUGGCAGCUGACAAAGUUGAUGACGGCUUUAACUGCAGACGACGGCAGACGAAGAGCAACACAAGAGCUGUCGGGCCUCGAAAUGUGCUGGAGAGCUGUGCAUAGAGAUAAGAGGAAACGAGGAGCCUCUAGGAUGCAGCAGCUGACACACACCGCUGCCUCUCCCAGGACUGCCCUCCCUUCCAUCCCACCUGGCCGAGCUGUCGGAGGCCUGGCUCGGUGCCGUGGCGUUCAGCCGGCGUCUCCCUGGCACGUCCUCCGGCUGUGGGAUCGAGGGAUGGGUCGCUGCCAGCCGGGGCUCCUCCCAUCAUUGUGGUUGUCCACUCUCUGGAUGUCAGGAUGCCCGCAGGCCGGCGCUUCCACCUGUUCAACGGGAACCUGAAGCGCACCUCCAGCAGCCCCCAUAUGUCACCCAGAUCCAACCAUUCACUCCCCAGCGCUGUGACAGCUGGAAGAUGCAGUGAAGUCUCAUCGCCGUUUAAUUCAGUUCGGAGCCCUAAAACUGUCCGAUCACGUCCCCGAAGACGUUGACGGAGGAGCUUGGAGGAGAAAAAGUGACUUAGCAAGAGGCCAGACAGGAGUAAAUCUCAGAUCGGCUCCUUGUCGUUGCCAGAAGCUUGGUGAAAUAAAAGGCCAGGGGACAGAUGCCAAGCUGGC
ensembl:lncRNA